rnacentral:ncRNA from 2 species
AAUGUUCUUCGAGGCAGGGUGAAAUUCCCGACCGGCGGUAAAGUCCGCAACCCGCAUAUGCGGUGGAAUCCCAUUUGGGUACCGAUAGUUACAGUCUAGAUGGCAGAAGAAAGAU